rnacentral:rRNA from 1 species
GCUAGCUACAGGCUUAACACAUGCAAGUCGAGGGGCAGCAUGGUCUUAGCUUGCUAAGGCCGAUGGCGACCGGCGCACGGGUGAGUAACGCGUAUCCAACCUGCCUUACACUCUUGGACAGCCUUCUGAAAGGGAGAUUAAUACAGGAUGUUAUCAUGAGUAAGCAUUUUCGCAUGAUUAAAGGUUUACCGGUGUAAGAUGGGGAUGCGUUCCAUUAGAUAGUAGGCGGGGUAACGGCCCACCUAGUCUUCGAUGGAUAGGGGUUCUGAGAGGAAGGUCCCCCACAUUGGAACUGAGACACGGUCCAAACUCCUACGGGAGGCAGCAGUGAGGAAUAUUGGUCAAUGGACGAGAGUCUGAACCAGCCAAGUAGCGUGAAGGAUGAAGGUUCUAUGGAUUGUAAACUUCUUUUAUACGGGAAUAAACGGAUCCACGUGUGGAUUUUUGCAUGUACCGUAUGAAUAAGGAUCGGCUAACUCCGUGCCAGCAGCCGCGGUAAUACGGAGGAUCCGAGCGUUAUCCGGAUUUAUUGGGUUUAAAGGGAGCGUAGAUGGGUUGUUAAGUCAGUUGUGAAAGUUUGCGGCUCAACCGUAAAAUUGCAAUUGAUACUGGCAGUCUUGAGUACAGUUGAGGUAGGCGGAAUUCGUGGUGUAGCGGUGAAAUGCUUAGAUAUCACGAAGAACUCCGAUUGCGAAGGCAGCUUACUAACCUGUAACUGACAUUGAUGCUCGAAAGUGUGGGUAUCAAACAGGAUUAGAUACCCUGGUAGUCCACACGGUAAACGAUGAAUACUCGCUGUAGGCGAUAUACAGUCUGCGGCCAAGCGAAAGCAUUAAGUAUUCCACCUGGGGAGUACGCCGGCAACGGUGAAACUCAAAGGAAUUGACGGGGGCCCGCACAAGCGGAGGAACAUGUGGUUUAAUUCGAUGAUACGCGAGGAACCUUACCCGGGCUUAAAUUGCAACCGAAUAUGGCGGAAACGCUAUAGCUAGCAAUAGCGGUUGUGAAGGUGCUGCAUGGUUGUCGUCAGCUCGUGCCGUGAGGUGUCGGCUUAAGUGCCAUAACGAGCGCAACCCUUGCCGAUAGUUACUAACAGGUCGUGCUGAGGACUCUGUCAGGACUGCCAUCGUAAGAUGUGAGGAAGGUGGGGAUGACGUCAAAUCAGCACGGCCCUUACGUCCGGGGCUACACACGUGUUACAAUGGGGGGUACAGAGGGCUGCUACCACGCAAGUGGAUGCCAAUCCCAAAAACCUCUCUCAGUUCGGAUUGAAGUCUGCAACCCGACUUCAUGAAGCUGGAUUCGCUAGUAAUCGCGCAUCAGCCACGGCGCGGUGAAUACGUUCCCGGGCCUUGUACACACCGCCCGUCAAGCCAUGGGAGCCGGGGGUACCUGAAGUGCGUAACCGCAAGGAGCGCCCUAGGGUAAAACUGG